rnacentral:lncRNA from 1 species
GCAGUUUUGUGAGGACCCCAUACAUCCAUGUGUACAAGUUAAAAGCAACAAUUAGUCUGUAUAUUACAUAUAGGAAAUGAUCUUCUGACUUGUUUUGCAAGUGGACAAACAGGGCACCUAUCUAUUGUAUCAACUAUGCAGUCAUGUUUAUGAUCUAUGAGUUGCUUCAGUACUCCAGAAGAAGCAUGACAAAAUUUUCUAUGCCACAAAGUAAUGUCUUUGAUUUUUCCAGAGUUAGUGUCUUUCCUUACCGCUAGAACAACACUGCUUGUCUUUAUGAUGUGACUUUGACUGUCUCAAAAUGUACAACCCUUUAUCUUGUCUAUGAAUCUCCUUCACUUGCAUUGUCCAUUGGAGAGAUCUGAAAGAGACAAAAAUUCGAGAAGAAAUUUACUGAGCAACAUAACUCUCUCGUGACCUUAGCAACAGACAUCAGAUUACAUUGAAAUUUUGGUAAGUGAUACACAUUACUUAAUGUAUUUCUAUCAGAUAUGUUACUACUACCUAUAAGAGUAACUUCAGACACAUCUCCUGUAAGUAGAUGCACGUUUUUUGACACUGCAGGUUGUACUAAGGAAUUUUUAUCCAACAUUUCUACAUCACCAACCAUAUGAUUGGUAGCUCCAGUAUCUAUAAUUCAUUCCUAUAUAUUCUUAAUAAAAAUGCAGCAUGAUGAUUAGUACCUACUAAGUGUGCUUCAGAAGUAGAUGCCUCAUGAGAGUGUCUAUUGUCAUUCUUCAAGAACUGAAUGAUAUGAUUGUAGUGGUCCUUUGUGAAGGGAUAUGGUCCUCUUUCAGUCCUAGCCUAUUGAUCUUCUUGAUAGGCUACAUUCUUUCCAUUUGUGACCACAGUAUGAGCUUUACUAUUGGAUCUAUUGAAGCCAUUUAGACCAGUUUCCAGAUAUGUACUCAGCCUUUUUUUCUAAACUUAUUGUAUUCUGGUGGGUAGUCUACUAGCUUGUAACACACUUCUUUAGUGUGACUUUUUAAUUUGCAGAAAUCACACUUCAGAUUAUAGUUCUUCUUGAACUUUUGAGUACCAAAUUUGAGUAGCAAUCCAUUUCAAAGCUGUUAACACCACUAACUACAAGAUUUGCUCCUAAAAUUCCAAAAUUAGCCACAAUGGACUUUUGUCCUUCAUCACUGAUUACCAUGCCCUAGGACUCAUGAGCAAAAUUUGACCUCUUACUUGUUUAUAUGAAUCAUUCAACCUCAUAAGAAAUUAAAAGAGUUUUAACUUCUGUAAAUGAGCAACGGGCUCGAAUACGUACCAUUCAACGGGCUCAAAUACCUACCAUUCAAUGACUCAUCUGUUAUAGCAUUGUGGUGGAUUCGGUGAACCCUUAUGAAGAUUUCAACGUUUGGCAACCCUU